rnacentral:rRNA from 1 species
CCGCUGGUGACGUUCGCCAUUGCGGCUCAAGAAACGGAGGACGUUCGCGUCACGGACUGCCCUUUCUUCACGAUGGGAUCGUCGGAGUCAAGCGACUUCACGGCCAAGGACAUGUGGCAGGAGAUCAAACAACAUGGUUCCCUCAGCGAAACCCGCACCGGCAAAGAGCCGAGGGUGUUGAAGCCCGGAUCAUCCAUCGGAGCGGCCGUCGCUGCGGCCACGACGGUGCCGGCAGGGGGGAGCCGCGUGGUGUCGUUUGCUCUGUCGUGGUCGUGCCCCGAGGUGAAGUUCACAGACGGGAAAACGUAUCACAGGAGGUACACCAAGUUCUGUGGCUUGGAUCGAGAUGCUGCUGCAGAGAGCUUGGCUCAUGAUGCUCUUCUUGAACACAUGGAGUGGGAGUCGAAAAUCCAAGAGUGGCAGACGCCUAUUCUGCAGGACAAAAGGCUGCCCGAAUGGUAUCCGGUUGCAUUGUUCAACGAACUCUACUAUCUGAUCGCUGGAGGCACCAUAUGGACAGAUGGACGGCCUCCCAGGAUGAGCGUUGCCUCAUCAGGGACGGGCACCCAAGACCCAUUCUCCCUCGACGUGUUCCGCCGCACAGACCUGCAAGGCAGUGGCACCCCGGUCCCGGUGGUGGACGGCGUCCUGGGCGAGAUGACGUCCGUGACGGAGCGCCUGCGGUCGGCGGCGGCGUUCGGGGCGACGCUGCUCGGCGACGGCGAGGAGAACGUGGGGCAGUUCUUGUACCUGGAGUCGAUGGAGUACCACAUGUGGAACACCUACGACGUGCACUUCUACGCCUCCUUCGCGCUGCUCUCCCUCUUCCCGGAGAUCGAGCUGAGCCUCCAGCGCGACUUCGCCCGCGCCGUCCUCCUCCACGACCCUCGUCCCAUGCGCACCCUCAACGACGGCAAGACCGUGCCGCGCAAGGUCCUCGGCUCGGUGCCGCACGACGUCGGGCUCAACGACCCGUGGUUCGAGCUCAACGCCUACAUGCUCCACGACCCGUCGCGCUGGAAGGACCUCAACCCCAAGUUCGUGAUGCAGGUCUACCGGGCCGUCGUCGCCACGGGCAACGUCGCCUUCGCCAGGGCGGCGUGGCCGGCGGUGUACCUGGGCAUGGCGUACAUGGACCAGUUCGACCGGGACCAGGACGGCAUGGUCGAGAACGAGGGCCGCCCCGACCAGACCUACGACCUGUGGUCCGUGUCCGGGGUCAGCGCCUACACCGGCGGGAUCUGGGUCGCGGCGCUGCAGGCCGCCGCUGCCAUGGCGCGCAUCGUCGGCGACGGCGACGCCGAGCUCUACUUCCGUGCGCGGUACCGCAUGGCGAGGCGCGUGUACGACGAGGAGCUCUGGAACGGCGCCUACUUCAGCUACGACAACAGCGGCGGCAAGACGAGCUCCUCCAUCAUGGCCGACCAGCUCGCCGGGCAGUGGUACGCUCGCGCGUGCGGCCUGGAGCCGGUGGUGGAGGAGGAGAAGGCCCGGAGCGCGCUGGGGACGGUGCUGGACUACAACGUCAUGCGGGUGAAGGGCGGGACGGUCGGUGCGGUGAACGGGAUGCGGCCGGACGGCGGCAUCGACAUGUCGUCGACGCAGUCCAAGGAGAUAUGGCCCGGCACGACCUACGCGGUGGCGGCCGCCAUGAUCCACGAGGGCAUGCUGGAGGCCGGCUUCCGGACGGCCAAGGGCGCCCACGACGCCAGCUGGUCCAAGGACGGCUUCGGCUACGCGUUCCAGACGCCGGAGGCUUGGACGGCAGAGGGCGGCUACCGCGGGCUGCACUACAUGCGGCCCCUCUCCAUCUGGGCGAUGCAAUGGGCGCUGUCGCCGCCGGAGCUCCACAAGGACCUGGGGGUCGGGCCGGUGCCCUCGCCGGGGGACGCCUCAGUUGGACAUGACAAGUUCGAUAAGGUGGCGAGCAUGCUGAGGUUGCCUGAGGAAGAGCAACACAAGGGAUUCCUCCGGGCUCUCUACCAGAUUCUCCGGCAGGUGGUGCUCCCGGCAUCGGCAUGA